rnacentral:snRNA from 1 species
GUGCUCAUUUCGGCAGCACAUAGCACUAAAUCUGGAAUGAUACGGAGAAGGUUAUCAGGGACGCUGAGCAAGGAUGACAUGCAAAUUAAUGAAGCAUUUCAUAUUAAA